UGCCAGACUCCUACGGGAGGCAGCAGUGGGGAAUAUUGCACAAUGGGGGAAACCCUGAUGCAGCAACGCCGCGUGAGUGAAGAAGUAUUUCGGUAUGUAAAGCUCUAUCAGCAGGGAAGAAAAUGACGGUACCUGAGUAAGAAGCCCCGGCUAACUACGUGCCAGCAGCCGCGGUAAUACGUAGGGGGCAAGCGUUAUCCGGAUUUACUGGGUGUAAAGGGAGCGUAGACGGCGAUGCAAGUCUGAAGUGAAAGCCCGGGGCUCAACCCCGGGACUGCUUUGGAAACUGUAUGGCUGGAGUGCUGGAGAGGCAAGCGGAAUUCCUAGUGUAGCGGUGAAAUGCGUAGAUAUUAGGAAGAACACCAGUGGCGAAGGCGGCUUGCUGGACAGUAACUGACGUUGAGGCUCGAAAGCGUGGGGAGCAAACAGGAUUAGAUACCCGUGUAC
rnacentral:rRNA from 1 species